rnacentral:ncRNA from 1 species
UGACCCUAGGUCAGGCGAUAUUACCCGCUGAGUUUAAGCAUAUCAAUAAGCGGAAGAAAAUAAACUUACAAGGAUUCCCUUAGUAAUGGGGAGCUAAUCGGGAACAGCCCAACCUUAGAAUCGGGCGGCUCCAUCGUUUGAAUUGUAUUCUGGAGAAGCGUCCUUAGUGGAGGAUCGGGCCCAUGUCCCCUGGAAGGGGACGCCAGAGAGGGUGACAGCCCCGUUGUCCCUGGACCCUGCCACACGACGAGGCGCUGUCUACGAGUCGGGCUGUUUGGGAAUGCAACCCAAAUCAGGCGGUGAAUUUCGUCCUAGGCUAAAUACAGGAGAGACACCGAUAACUAACACGUACCACGAGGGAAAGAUUAAAAGGACUUUGAAAAUAGAGUCAAAGAGUGCUUGAAAUUAUUGGGAGGGAAGCAGAUGAAAGCUGACGAUGCACCCUGGUCAGAUGUGGAACGGUGACGAG